UGAGUCUUCCAUGCUUGUCUCUCGGGGCCACAAAACGAGUUCCUGGUAACUCCACUGAUAAUGCCCUGGGCGAAAGUCCCCGGGCCUAGGAUAGAAAGUAUCAAGGUGUAGAAAGUGCAUCACACACUUUGUUGAGUGAGUUUUGCAUUCGCCUAUAUUCUGCGGAAUUUCGCCUGGCGUACGGAUGAAGAGGUUUUUUUCCGAAUCCUUACGCGCCAGGUCGUCUGCGGAAAUCUGCCAGAGUAUCUUAGAUAUGGACGAGUUGGUAGGACUCGCCGGGCGGAGUUCACGCUCUUCUCGGCCGAGAAACCGCCUACACAGAAUGGGGCUUAAAUUGGGAAACUU
rnacentral:RNase_MRP_RNA from 1 species